CAGCCGUAAACUAUGCGCGUUAGGUGUACUGGUGACCACGAGUCACCGGGGUGCCGAAGGGAAACCGUGAAACGUGCCGCCUGGGAAGUACGGUCGCAAGGCUGAAACUUAAAAGGAAAUUGGCGGGGGAGGCACCGCAACGGGAGGAGCGUGCGGUUUAAUUGGAUUCAACACCGGAAAACUACACCAAGGGCGGACUGUUACAUGAAAGACCAGGCUAAUGACCUUGCUUGAUUUUCUAGAGAGGUGGUGCAUGGC
rnacentral:rRNA from 1 species